rnacentral:rRNA from 1 species
GCGAGCUGCGUGCCACGAGCGGCGGUUGUACGGGUUCGUCAAGUGUGAUCCGGAGUCACGCGGUUUACGGGUGUCGUCGUAGGCUUGCCAAGUCGGUGGUGGAAGCCCGCGGCUUAACCGUGGAAUUGCCAUUGAAGCUGGUUCGCGCGAGUAUGAUUGAAGUGGAUGGGAUGCAUCAUGUAGCCGUGAAAUGCUUAGAUAUGAUGCAGAACACCAAUUGCGAAGGAAGUUCACUAAGUCAUAACUGACGCUGAGGCACGAAAGCGUGGGGAUCAAACAGGAUUAGAUCCCCCAGUAGUC